GGGCUUAGUGGCGGACGGGUGAGUAACGCGUAAGAAUCUGCUUUCAGGUUCGGGACAACAACUGGAAACGGUUGCUAAUACCGGAUGUGCCGAGAGGUAAAAGGCUUGCUGCCUGAAGAUGAGCUUGCGUCAGAUUAGCUAGUUGGUAGUGUAAGGGACUACCAAGGCGACGAUCUGUAGCUUGUCUGAGAGGAUGACCAGCCACACUGGAACUGAGAAACGGUCCAGACUCCUACGGGAGGCAGCAGUGGGGAAUUUUCCGCAAUGGGCGAAAGCCUGACGGAGCAAGACCGCGUGAGGGAAGAACGUCUGUGGAUUGUAAACCUCUUUUGACAGGGAAGAAUAAUGACGGUACCUGUCGAAUCAGCCUCGGCUAACUCCGUGCCAGCAGCCGCGGUAAUACGGAGGAGGCAAGCGUUAUCCGGAAUUAUUGGGUGUAAAGCGUCCGUAGGUGGGUUAUCGAGUCAGUUGUUAAAGGAUAGAGCUUAACUCUAUAAGAGCAACUGAAACUGAUAGUCUAGAGUGCGAUAGGGGCAAGGGGAAUUCCCAGUGUAGCGGUGAAAUGCGUAGAUAUUGGGAAGAACACCGGUGGCGAAAGCGCCUUCCUUGGUCAGAACUGACACUGAGGGACGAAAGCUAGGGGAGCGAAAGGGAUUAGAUACCCCUGUAGUCCUAGCUGUAAACGAUGGGUACUAGGCGUUGUCCGUAUCGACCCGGGCAGUGCUGCAGCUAACGCGUUAAGUACCCCGCCUG
rnacentral:rRNA from 1 species